rnacentral:rRNA from 1 species
CCUACGGGCGGCAGCAGUAGGGAAUAUUGCUCAAUGGGGGAAACUCUGAAGCAGCAAAGCCGCGUGGAGGAUGACGGUUUUAGGAUUUUUAACUCCUUUUGUGUUAGGAGUUAAUGACGGUAUCUCACGACUAAGCACUGUCUAACUCCGUACCAGCAGCCGCGGUAAUACGUAGGGUGCACGCGUUACUCGGAAUCAAUGGGCGUAAAGAGUGCGCAGGCGGGCUUGUAAGUCAGAUGUGAAAUGCUGUAGCUUAACUACAGAACUGCAGUUGAAACUGUGAGUCUAGAGUGUUGGAGGGGUAGGCGGAAUUCUUGGUGUAGGGGUAAAAUGCGUAGAUAUCAAGAGGAACACUGAUUGCGAAGGCGAGCGACUGGGACGUUACUGACGCUCAUGCACGAAAGCGUGGGGAGCAAACAGGAUUAGAUACCCGAGUAGUC